GUACUUACCUGGCAUGGGAGACACCUUGAUUACGAAAGAGGCGAGACCAUUGCACUCUGGCCAUGCUGACCCCUGUGAAUUCCCCCAAAUGUGGGAAUCUUGACUGCAUCAUUUCCGGUAAUGGGAAACUGCGUCCACACUCUACGCU
rnacentral:snRNA from 1 species